rnacentral:rRNA from 1 species
AGUAGGGGAGACUGGAAUUCCUGGUGUAGCGGUGAAAUGCGCAGAUAUCAGGAGGAACACCGAUGGCGAAGGCAGGUCUCUGGGCUGUAACUGACGCUGAGGAGCGAAAGCAUGGGGAGCGAACAGGAUUAGAUACCCUGGUAGUCAUGCCGUAAACGUUGGGCACUAGGUGUGGGGGACAUUCCACGUUUUCCGCGCCGUAGCUAACGCAUUAAGUGCCCCGCCUGGGGAGUACGGCCGCAAGGCUAAAACUCAAAGGAAUUGACGGGGGCCCGCACAAGCGGCGGAGCAUGCGGAUUAAUUCGAUGCAACGCGAAGAACCUUACCAAGGCUUGACAUGAACCGGAAAGACCUGGAAACAGGUGCCCCGCUUGCGGUCGGUUUACAGGUGGUGCAUGGUUGUCGUCAGCUCGUGUCGUGAGAUGUUGGGUUAAGUCCCGCAACGAGCGCAACCCUCGUUCUAUGUUGCCAGCGGUUCGGCCGGGGACUCAUAGGAGACUGCCGGGGUCAACUCGGAGGAAGGUGGGGACGACGUCAAAUCAUCAUGCCCCUUAUGUCUUGGGCUUCACGCAUGCUACAAUGGCCGGUACAAAGGGUUGCGAUACUGUGAGGUGGAGCUAAUCCCAAAAAGCCGGUCUCAGUUCGGAUUGGGGUCUGCAACUCGACCCCAUGAAGUCGGAGUCGCUAGUAAUCGCAGAUCCAGCAACGCUGCGGUGAAUACGUUCCCGGGCCUUGUACACACCGCCCGUCAAGUCACGAAAGUUGGUA